rnacentral:rRNA from 1 species
CAUACCGAAAGGUAUGCUAAUACGGGAUAAUAUAUUUGAGAGGCAUCUCUUGAAUAUCAAAGGUGAGCCAGUACAGGAUGGACCCGCGUCUGAUUAGCUAGUUGGUAAGGUAACGGCUUACCAAGGCGACGAUCAGUAGCCGACCUGAGAGGGUGAUCGGCCACAUUGGAACUGAGACACGGUCCAAACUCCUACGGGAGGCAGCAGUGGGGAAUAUUGCACAAUGGGCGAAAGCCUGAUGCAGCAACGCCGCGUGAGGGAUGAAGGCCUUCGGGUCGUAAAACUCUGUCCUCAAGGAAGAUAAUGACGGUACUUGAGGAGGAAGCCCCGGCUAACUACGUGCCAGCAGCCGCGGUAAUACGUAGGGGGCUAGCGUUAUCCGGAUUUACUGGGCGUAAAGGGUGCGUAGGCGGUCUUUCAAGUCAGGAGUGAAAGGCUACGG